rnacentral:siRNA from 1 species
AUGAUUAGUCAAAUGCAUUGGAUU